GACGAACGCUGGCGGCGCGCCUAACACAUGCAAGUCGAACGGAGCUGCGAGGAGCUUGCUUUUCUUAGCUUAGUGGCGAACGGGUGAGUAACGCGUGAGUCCCCUGCUCUGGUGUGGGGUACAACAGUUGGACACGACUGCUAAUACCGCAUAAGCCCACGCUCCGGCGUCGGGUUGGGGGAAAUGGAUUUAUUCGCUUCAGGAUGGACUCGCGUCCGAUUAGCGAGUUGGUGAGGUAACGGCACACCAAGGCGACGAUUGGUAGCCGGACUGAGAGGUUGAACGGCCACAUUGGGACUGAGACACGGCCCAGACUCAUACGGGAGGCAGCAGUGGGGGAUAUUGCACAAUGGGGGAAACACUGAUGCAGCGACGCCGCGUGGAGGAAGAAGGUUUUCGGAUUGUAAACUCCUGUCGUGAGGGACGAUAAUGACGGUACCUAACAAGAAAGCACCGGCUAACUACGUG
rnacentral:rRNA from 1 species